CAACAACAACAUCGAAAAAUACCUUAGGAAUGGGAACCCAGGUUCGAAAUUUCCUCAAGACACCUGAUGAAGGCUGGAGGGUAUAUCAGCCGAAACGUUGUGUUAACAACAAACAAGAUAAAGACAAGUAUCCGUCAAACGUAACUGAUGUAAAUAAUUCCUCACCUCUUAAA